UUUUUUUUUCAUGUUUCAUUGCAGAUUGUUCCAACUGAAUAUAGAUAUAUCUCAAAAGAUGUGUUGCCUACCAAUCAGUUUUCAGUCACUGAAUAUUUCUCGCCUAUGACCAACUCUGAAAGAACAUGGCCAGCUGUUUACUUCUUAUAUGAUCUUUCACCAAUCACUGUGACCAUCAAAGAAGAAAGACGAAGUUUUCUCCACUUCAUAACUCGGCUGUGUGCUGUGUUAGGAGGCACCUUUGCGGUGACAGGAAUGCUAGAUCGCUGGAUGUUUCGGUUUCUUGAGGCUCUGACAAAA